AAAAAAAAACUCUCUCUUCUUUCCUUUCCUCCUACCUCUCUCUAGAACUUUCAUCAAAGAAAAUCAAUUCCGGUGGCCGAUGGCCGGUGACCGGUGCCGCUGGUCACCAACCCCUUUUUAUCUUUUGUUUUUUGUUUGUAGAUAAUUUUCGCUUUCGCAAAUCUCUUCUAUUCCGGUUAGCGGAUUUAAUUUUUGCAGUGGCGACUUUUGUAGUGUAUCCAAUUUCAGUCGAAGCAAAGUUUCAAGGAUGUUUCCAUGUUCUUCGAAAGGGAUCGGUGUAAAUACAGUAACCCUUAUCUUUCGCAGUUCGUUAGCAAAAUCCCAUUCGCUUAGGAAAACUCUCCUCUUCUCUCCCGGAUUGCACUUUCUCCUUUCCAAAAGGAAUCAAUCUUUAUUCCUUAUGUUGGAGCCGCUAAAUCGGUUUAUGGGUAAAGUAUCCUAGAUGGAAAGGAAGAUGUGAUGUUGGAUUGAUUUUGGUUGGUUCUGAUGGAGAUCUAGAUGAGUCAGCAUCUUCUCUAUAUCGAAAGUGGUCAGUUGAACGAAAGAUAAGAAGCAAAGGAGUUUCAAAUAGUUCUCGGAGACAAAGCUCAAGAAGACUGGGGUUCUGCCGGUGAGGUUGCGUCUCAGAUUUCUCAUCCCACGUGUGGUGUUCAGGGACACGUGUCACCUUAAUUUGGCUAUCGUCUCAUGUAAACACAGAAAAGGACGCGUGUUGAAGACUUACUUCGUACAGACGCGUGUAAUAACUCGAAGGAAAUAUUGGGUCAAUAAAUUGGGUUUAUGGUUAGGUCGAGUUUGUAUUAAUGAGAAUUGGGAUGUCUGUAACUCCUUUGUAGUAUGCCCAUUUGGGCCUUUCUAAUAGAAAGAAACAGUUGACCAAAAAAAAAAUUACUGUCUGCAGUAUGCGUGUGUUGUUGAAUAAUUGAAUGGCUAGAAGAGCAAACAGUGAGCAUGUUAUCCUUGUU